UAAUAAGUGUUUUAUGGCACUUUUUAAAUCCAUAUCCACCUUGUGUGCAAUGUCAGUCGAUCUUCUUUCAUGGAGAUCGACCAAACAUCAACCUUUAUUUUUUAACUCUUUGUCUGAAAAAAUAUUAUGAAUAAACAAUUCAAAAUA
rnacentral:misc_RNA from 1 species